GCAACCGUAGCUUAGCUGGAUAGAGCACCUGACUACGAAUCAGGAGGUCACAGGUUCGAAUCCUGUCGGUUGCGCCA
rnacentral:tRNA from 1 species